AUUGAACGCUGGCGGCAUGCUUUACACAUGCAAGUCGAACGGUAACAGGCCUUCGGGUGCUGACGAGUGGCGCACGGGUGAGUAAUGCAUCGGAACGUACCCAGAGGUGGGGGAUAACGCAGCGAAAGCUGUGCUAAUACCGCAUGUGAUCUGAGGAUGAAAGCGGGGGACCGAGCAGCAAUGUUUGGCCUCGCGCCUUUGGAGCGGCCGAUGUCGGAUUAGCUAGUUGGUGGGGUAAAGGCCUACCAAGGCGACGAUCCGUAUCUGGUCUGAGAGGACGACCAGCCACACUGGGACUGAGACACGGACCAGACUCCUACGGGAGGCAGCAGUGGGGAAUUUUGGACAAUGGGCGCAAGCCUGAUCCAGCAAUGCCGCGUGCGGGAAGAAGGCCUUCGGGUUGUAAACCGCUUUUGGCAGGAACGAAACGGUGUCCGCUAAUACCGGGCGAUAAUGACGGUACCUGCAGAAUAAGCACCGGCUAACUACGUG
rnacentral:rRNA from 1 species